rnacentral:rRNA from 1 species
GGAUGAACGCUAGCGGCAGGCCUAACACAUGCAAGUCGAACGGUAAGGCCCAGCUUGCUGGGUACACGAGUGGCGCACGGGUGAGUAACGCGUAUGCAACCUGCCUCGAACAGGGGGAUAGCCCCGAGAAAUUGGGAUUAAUACCCCAUAACGCAUCGGAGCCGCAUGGCUCUGUUGCUAAAGCCCCGGCGGUUCAGAUGGGCAUGCGUGGCAUUAGCUAGUUGGNGGGUAACGCCACAAGGCGUCGAUGCCUAGGGGUUCUGAGAGGACAGCCCCCCCAACUGGUACCG